rnacentral:rRNA from 1 species
ACGUACAAGCAGUGGGAGCACAGGUUUACCUGUGUGACUGCGUACCUUUUGUAUAAUGGGUCAGCGACUUAUAUUCUGUAGCAAGGUUAACCGAAUAGGGGAGCCGGAGGGAAACCGAGUCUUAAUUGGGCGUUAAGUUGCAGGGUAUAGACCCGAAACCCGGUGAUCUAGCCAUGGGCAGGUUGAAGGUUGGGUAACACUAACUGGAGGACCGAACCGACUAAUGUUGAAAAAUUAGCGGAUGACCUGUGGCUGGGGGUGAAAGGCCAAUCAAACCGGGAGAUAGCUGGUUCUCCCCGAAAGCUAUUUAGGUAGCGCCUCGUGAAUUCAUCUCCGGGGGUAGAGCACUGUUUCGGCUAGGGGGCCAUCCCGGCUUACCAACCCGAUGCAAACUGCGAAUACCGGAGAAUGUUAUCACGGGAGACACACGGCGGGUGCUAACGUCCGUCGUGAAGAGGGAAACAACCCAGACCGCCAGCUAAGGUCCCAAAGUCAUGGUUAAGUGGGAAACGAUGUGGGAAGGCCCAGACAGCCAGGAUGUUGGCUUAGAAGCAGCCAUCAUUUAAAGAAAGCGUAAUAGCUCACUGGUCGAGUCGGCCUGCGCGGAAGAUGUAACGGGGCUAAACCAUGCACCGAAGCUGCGGCAGCGACGCUUAUGCGU